GACGAACGCUGGCGGCGUGCUUAACACAUGCAAGUCGAACGGAAAGGCCCUGCUUGUGUGGGGUGCGCGAGUGGCGAACGGGUAAGUAACACGAGAGUAACCGGCACUUGACUUUGGGAUAGCUUCAGGAAACUGGGGCUACUACCGGAUAGGAGCUCCUGCUGCAUGGUGGGGGUUGGAAAGAUUCGGCGGUUGGGGAUGGAAUGGGGGCGUAUCAGCUUGUUGGUGGGGUGGUGGCUUACCAAGGCUUGGCAGGGUAGCGGGCCUGAGAGGGUGAGCGGCGACAUUGGGACUGAGAUGCGGCCCGGACUCGUACGGGAGGCAGCAGUGGGGAAUAGUGCACAAUGGGAGGAAGCAUGAUGCAGCAGCGCCGCGUGCGGGAUGACGGCCUUCGGGUUGUAAACUGCUUUCGCCUGUGACGAAGCGUGAGUGACGGUAAUGGGUAAAGAAGCACCGGCUAACUACGUG
rnacentral:rRNA from 1 species